rnacentral:rRNA from 1 species
UACGUAGGGUGCGAGCGUUGUCCGGAAUUAUUGGGCGUAAAGAGCUCGUAGGCGGACUGUCACGUCCGCUGUGAAAAGCUAGGGCUUAACCCUGGCCUUGCAGUGGAUACGGGCAGACUAGAGGUAGGUAGGGGAGAAUGGAAUUCCCGGUGUAGCGGUGAAAUGCGCAGAUAUCGGGAGGAACACCGGUGGCGAAGGCGGCAUCCUGGACCGACAUUGACGCUGAGGAGCGAAAGCUAGGGGAGCAAACGGG